UAAGCCAUGCAUGUCUCAGUAUAAGUCUUAACAUGACGAAACUGCGAAUGGCUCAUUAAAACAGUUAUAGUUUAUUUGAUGGUCAAUCAAGAUAUGGAUACCUGUGGUAAUUCUAGAGCUAAUACAUGCAUAAAUGCCCGACUUUUUGGAAGGGCAGUAUUUAUUAGAUACAGAACCAAUCCGGCAACGGUCCUUUGGUGAUUCAUAAUAAAUGAACGGAGCGAACAGCAUGCGCUGUCGCUGUAUCAUUCAAGUUUCUGACCUAUCAGCUUUCGAUGGUAGGGUAUUGGCCUACCAUGGCAUUGACGGGUGACGGAGAAUUAGGGUUCGAUUCCGGAGAGGGAGCCCGAGAAACGGCUACCACAUCUAAGGAAGGCAGCAGGCGCGCAAAUUACCCAAUCCUGACUCAGGGAGGUAGUGACAAGAAGUAACAAGGCGAUCCUCAUCCGAGGUAUUGCUAUUGGAAUGAGUAGAAUUUAGAUAUCUCUACGAAUGCAAUUGGAGGGCAAGUCUGGUGCCAGCAGCCGCGGUAAUUCCAGCUCCAAUAGCGUAUAUUAAAGUUGUUGCGGUUAAAAAGCUCGUAGUUGGAUUUCUGUUGAGAGUGGCCAGUCCGCACUUUGUGCGAGUAUUUGGUUCAGUCUUGGCAUCCUCCUGGGGAGCGUAAUUGUACUUGAUUGUAUGAUACGUAAUUCAGGACUUUUACUUUGAGGAAAUUAGAGUGUUCACGGCAGGCCUUCGCCCUGAAUAUGUUAGCAUGGAAUAAUAAUAUAAGACCUCGGUUUUAUUUUGUUGGUUUCUAGAAGCGAGGUAAUGAUUAAUAGGGACAAUUGGGGGUAUUCGAAUUAACGCGUCAGAGGUGGAAUUCUUGGAUUGCGUUACGACGAACUACUGCGAAAGCAUUUACCAAGGAUGUUUUCAUUGAUCAAGAACGAAGUCAGGGGAUCGAAGACGAUUAGAUACCGUCGUAGUCUUGACCAUAAACUAUGCCGACUAGGGAUUGCGGUCGCUCUUUUACGCUCGUCAGCACUUAUGAGAAAUCAAGUCUUUGGGUUCCGGGGGAGUAUGGUCGCAAGGCUG
rnacentral:rRNA from 1 species